UACGAAGGGGGCUAGCGUUGCUCGGAAUCACUGGGCGUAAAGGGUGCGUAGGCGGGUUCUUAAGUCAGGGGUGAAAUCCUGGAGCUCAACUCCAGAACUGCCUUUGAUACUGAGAGUCUUGAGUUCGGGAGAGGUGAGUGGAACUGCGAGUGUAGAGGUGAAAUUCGUAGAUAUUCGCAAGAACACCAGUGGCGAAGGCGGCUCACUGGCCCGAUACUGACGCUGAGGUGCGAAAGCGUGGGGAGCAAACAGGG
rnacentral:rRNA from 1 species